rnacentral:misc_RNA from 1 species
AAGUCGUAACAAGGUUUCCGUAGGUGAACCUGCGGAAGGAUCAUUAAUGAGAUAGGGUCCUUCGGGGCCCCGACCUCCAACCCCCAUAUCUACCUUACCCACUGCUGCCUCGGCGGGGACGCCGACGCCCCCCUAAGAAGGGCGCCCGGCCCGACGGCUUCGGCCCCUCGAGCGCCCCGUCGGUGGACUAAUUGAAACCCAUUUAAUGAAGCCUUCUGAGGUAUUAUACAAUACUUCAAAA